GGCCCCAGGAUGUGCAGCAGGUCCCCACUGGGCAUGCAGACCAGAAGCCUGGAUGCCAGCCCAGGGUCGGAUCCCACCCAGCCCUCAGUUCCCAGAGCCUUCAGAGGGGCAAGGGCCCAUCCCCAAGGUCCCCAGUGGAAAUGGAAGAGGACCACUGGGUGUGGACGGGGAGGGAGGGCCAGGAUGGAGGCAGUGGCUUACCUCAGACAGGAAGGUCUGGGCUGACUUCUGGGCGCCGAUGUGCAGCAGGUACUCGUAGACAUACAGCGCCAACCUGUGGGGGCAAGGCGGCCCAGGGGGCUCAGGCCCCACUCUAAAGCCCUUCUGCCUCUCGGGAGGGCGGGUGGAAAGGUACUCUCCCCACCAGCUGCUCAGCAGAGACAACUCUACUCAUCUGUCAGCAUCCUUCGGGCUUCUCCCAGGCAUCCCUGACCCCAACUCCAGGACGAAUUCGGUUCCUUUCAGUGCGCCCUCGGAGACCAAAUCCUGGCCCUGUCCUGCCAAUGCCAUGCCUCCAGAGGCCUCAGUAGAGGAGUGUCACUCCUGAGUGUGUGGGGGGUAGGGACAAAUAGUGGGCUCCCUGGGCCGUGUCCUGUGCUGAGGGCCACCCCAACGCAUCGCCAGCCUCGCUGGCCCAGGAGGGAAGGGCCCCCCCGGCCCCUGGACCCCAUCUCUUCCUUGGGGUGGCUGCCCAUCCACUGUGGUGGCCUCAGUUCUUCCAGCAGAUGAUCCCCAGCCAGGGCAGUGCUGACUGCGGGGCGGUAUCCAGGGAACGGAGGUGGGGGCCAGGGCCGGUAGGGCCCACAGUGCCGCAUCUGCCGCCCUGCCCACAUGUACAGAGGGCUCUGUGAGUCCCCAGCCGCCAGGGACCCCUGGACUCACCCCCUCAGCCACUGCCCUCCCCAAGAGCUGGGACCUGGGCCACCCUUGACCAGCCAGGGGGCUCCAGCACAGCCCUCUUCAGGUCACAGGGGAAGGCUGGACCGUCUGCCUGGCUCCAGUCCAGCUGCCACGCCAGAAAGCAGAGAACAAUCCCCCAUCCAAAGCAUUGCCCAGUCCUCUGGCACCAGCCCUUCUGGACCUCUCUGGAUCUGAGGCGCCCCCAUCGGAGCCCUUCAGAGCCCUUGUACUGCACAGCCAGGGACCCAUGAGGGCCUGCUCUGGGCUUGGGGGAAUCUGGGAUUCAAGACAGGGUUCCGGAGAGCAGGCCUGAGGCUGAGCCCUAGAGGCGAGAGGCAGGCAGGCAGGCAGGCCUGGGGGCCCUUCCAGCCGCCUCCAGCUCAGCUGUGCCGCCUCCCUGGCUGCCGGCCCCAUCCUAAAAUAACCUUCCUUUGACUCACACUCUGCUCCCUCCCAGCCAGGCUGAUCCAGUCCCAGCACCCACCACCCAUCACGCCCCCCAGGUCCCUUUCAGACUUCCAGCCCUCCUGUUCCUCCCCAGCCCCCGUGGGCGGUGCCCUUGCCCAGAUCUCAUCCUGCCUCCCCUCCUUCAUUCAUUAACUUCAUUCAUUCCUCUGGCAUCAUGGAGCACCCUUUGUGCAGUGCACACACCUGGCGCCUGUCCUGGAGGCCACGUUCUUGAGGGGACAGACAGAGACAGGCAAUGCGAGUGGAGGGGUGAGCUGUGUGGCCCCGUGGAAGGUGCUGAGGCUACAGAAAUGCAAGGGGGCAGAGCAGGCGGCCCAGGGCGGGGCAUGCCAGGCUCACACUGCACCACAUGAGCAGUGAUGGCCACCCCAGAGGCAGGGAGGGGGCAGGACACACAGUGCCCAGCGGUCACCUGGCAUCAUCACACCACUUUGGAGAGAACCCCCCAGCCCAUGCCCUGCUAGAUCCUGACCCCAUAGCCCUCCAGUCUCCCACCCCCGCGCCUUCCUCCACUGCCUGCAGGGCCGCCUGUCCAGCCCACUUCUGUGGUACCCAGGCCCAUCUAGAGGCUUCUGAGCUUUCCCCUGUGCCAGCGGCUGACAGGCCUGCGUCCAUCCGUGAAGGUAGCACACAGGCCAGGGUGGGCAGGUUCAGGGGGACAGACCGACCAGCCUGGGGAGCCUAGUGCCACCAGCCAUUUCCCACCCUGGCCACUUGGGGGUCCGAGCAGGGGGCACAAAAGGCCAGAGUGGGGUAAGACAGAGUCUCAGGAAUGCUGGUGAGCCACGCCCAGGGGCCGGCUGUCCAGGAGGCCUAGGGGGACUCCUGAAGGAGAGAGUGGCCAAAAGCUUUACCUGCCUUCCUUCGUCACCCCUUCCCUGACUGUCCCCAUCAGCACCUAACCCAGGAGGCAGCCCCAGAGCCCACCCUGGCCUCACUACCCGCUCCUGCUGUCCUCCUGCCUCCAGCCUCGCCGGCUCCCCAUUCUGUCCUCUCCUCUCCCUGGGUGGUUUGCCCAGCCUGUUUGGAUAACGCCUUCAGGUAGGGGCUGCCCAGAGGGUGCUGUGGCCCGACUUUCCCCAAACUAGGGAUCCACUGUUCACCUGGAAGCUAUAGACCCAGCCUCGACACCGGAGCCCAGCACCCCUUCCCCAUCCUCCCCUCUCCCUGCCCAGAGGCCGUCACGGAGAUGUCCACACACACACACACACACACACACACAUCUCAUCCAAGGAGCCUCUGGUGGCCACGCACAAGUGUGCACCUGCCUGACACCCACCCAGCUGUCCCCAGACAUCACUCCCUUUACUGAAUUGAGAAGAAAACACUGAAGGAAGUCUCUCUCCUGAUUCGGGCCCCUCUCCCCACCUCCACUGCACACCUGGGCUAGGCCACCCACCGUCUCCCACCUGGGUUAUGAGAGUCCCCUCCAGGCGCUGCUCCUCCAUACCCCCACGCUGCUUGUUCAAACCCUCCUGUGCCCCCCGCACCCCCACAAUGGCUGCCCUGCCGCCCCAGGGCCUCUGUGCACUGUUCCCCUGCAUGGGACACUUCCGCCCAGAGACUCCAGUGUCACUUACCAGGGGCUUCCCUGUCACUUGGAAGCCCCCACCUGUUCCAUGUCUCCCCAUCUGACAGUCUCCACCUGUGGCCCCCACUGGAAUGUGGCUGGAGGUGGGGCGGGGACUUGGAGUCUGCUCACUGCAAUGCCCUUAGAACAGAGCUGGGCAUCCAGGACCCUGUCACUACAGUGAAUGAACAAACCACCCGGGACCCCUCCUGGGAUGCCAGGACCAGCUGGGCCACAAGGCACGUGGCCAGAAAGAAGCAUGGGGAGGCACCUGGCAGAGCAGCAAGCAGCCUCUCUGCCAAGGAACCCGAGACCUGGAGGACAUGGGGCGCCUGGACCUGAGCAAGCAUGGUGCUGCAGGGAAGCAGAGACAGGAUGGGGUGCUAGCACCUGGUGGCCUGAAAAGUUCCACAGCCACCGCCACACUGACGUGCGUUAUCGUAAACACCGAGAAUGGCCGCACUGGUGCUCCCUGCCCAGUGCCCUCCUGGACACAGAUGCUGCUGGGGCGGGAGAUGCCUGCCACUCGGGGCUUUGUGUCACUGUGUCAUGUCACCAGGUCUCACUGCUGCCCCCAAAGGGACCCUCCAACCCUCACUGUCCUCCCUCCCCUCCGCCAAUCCUAAAGGCCAGGCCCUUGGCAGCUU